ensembl:lncRNA
GUAAAUAGUUAACCUCAUCAGUCUGGAGACUUCUGGCACUCGUGACCGAUGGCUUGAAAAUGAAUUCGAGGUAGAAAUAAUAAUAAAAAAGGCGAAGCAUAGUCACAGUCAGUACAGUGUUGAUAAUACUUGUUUGGCUCUUAAGAUUUGCAUCUGCUGUGAUCCAACAGAGAUCACAAGUUAGCAGUGGCUUCCCAGCGAGGGACUGAAAGUAUACAGGAUUACGUACCACUGAAAGACAUAUGUGUGCCCUUGCUUUUUUCUGCAAGUAUCUGGAUAUCUGCAUUUUGCAUGUGGGGAUGUUCCGAGUAUUACCUCUGCAGGUAAGAAUUCCAAGAAUCAUCGAGUCCAGCAUUGACUCAAGCAGACAAAGAUAGUUUAAUGUUGAAGAUGUGGGAUGUUCAUGGAAAAGUAUGUGAAAGAAUGUCUUUGAAUAAAUCUUACAUCUGUUCUGCAAACAACAUGCUUAUCACAAGAUGACUCUGAAGGCUUAUGAGAGACAGCAAGCAUGGUUAGAUGAGCAAACCGGGCUUGGAAUUCAGCCACGUCCUUGGACCUUCCUACACAAAAAUGUUAAUAACAAUCACACUUGUUCCUAAAACAAGAACAGACAGAAUUGUGCACUCGUUCAUCUGGAUUGAUCCUGCCGGGUGACGAAGCUUUGCUGCAAUAGCACUGCUACAGUGAGAAGUUACACAGACCCGUAACUUUGCAUAAUCCUUUUUGGCACUGUUUUUCUCUGCCCUCCAGGACUGAGAGUUUAACCAGCAAAGUGCAGCCAGUGGCUUGCUGGAGGAUUUUGUCUCAGAAGACCCUGACAAUGAGGAUGAGAAAAGUCUAUUGGGUAAGGGUGAAGAGAGGCUGAGAUACUGCUGCUGCUAUCCAUGUGGGAGGGAGGAGAGCUGAAAAUGGGCUCUUCUUGAGGAUGGAGCCAGUCCCCCAGAAUAUACUAAACUAUACAACAGAGGCCAAAGUAAACAACAUCCAGUGACAUAUUUGCAAUUGUAGAUAGAGCUUAGUUUUUCCCCUUGCACUUAGGAGAUUCUGUCCUCCUGACAGCGAUCCACUGAGGUAACUGUGAUGAUAUUUUCUUCAGGCACUGAGGGAACCAUCACUGGUUGGGCUAAGCAGAACAGAUCUGCACCACAGCAGGUGGAGAACAGAACACAUGCUGUAUCUUGCCAAAGUUCACAACAGUGACUUGGAGAUGAUCUUCUCACAGUGUUUGCUUGCUUGUCAGCAGGGCAGCUGCUGUUACUGCUGCUGAGAACAGGUUCACACUUUUUUUUUUCUGGCAUCUGGAAGAAGGUACCAACACUGAAAGAGUCUAAAAGGCGCUUGGAUUGCAUUAGUUAAAACUUACUGUGAUAAACUGGGGUUGGUUUGUAUCUCUCACUAAGUCUGUUUGCUUACAAAGCACGCUAAGACUUGUCACAUCAUGGCAAUAGGUUCUCCAUGCUUUUCUCCUGUCAGCUGAUUGGACACGUGCAGUCCCUAUGGGGGGGGCAGAGGUUGGUAAGGUUUUCUGUAUGGCUUGUAGUUGUUUUUCUCCUGUCUUUCUCUACCAUCAGCAAUCUGGAAAACAGCCAUUUGAAACUUCAAGAUUAUAAAACACUCUUCUAGAUGUGAUCUCUUUUGGGGGAUGGUCUCUCUGGCUGGAAAUAUUCUGUUUCUUUCCACAUUACCAACCAGAAAACAGUGAAACAUCCUUGACCAGUAUUUCUCCAGCCACACUGGAACUAUCCAUUGCAGUUCCACCCUGAUGUGAGGCUGGGCUGAAUUUCUGCCAUAAAGACUGGGUGAGCAAGUGGACAAGUUUGUUUUCUCUAAGGAAAGACGCACUGCAGUCUACCCUCAGGACAAGGGAAUUGGAUGAGAAUGAGGCUCCAGGAUUCUGUAAGGGUGCAUGAAUGGAGGCAAGACAGUCCCAGUCUUUCCUUUUUGCCUCCAUUGCCGUGGACAGAAGGAGGAGUUGGGAACUUAGUAUGUGAUGCAGGUUCUGGAGGAAGUUAUGUGAAAGCAUACAAACAUCAGGAGUGUGAUAUCAACAGGUGAAUAUCAGAAUAUGAGGCAUAUCAAGCAGCUGCACACCUCCAUACUACAACCACAGCCUGAGACAUAUGCUGAGAGCCCAACACUCACAGGGAAGAAACACAGCCUAAGAGCACAGCUUUCCAUUCUGAGAACCUCAUGAGAAUUGCAGUGUGUGAGCCUCGAGCUACAAAUUCAAGAGUCACCGGCAGUACUGGUGAUGCCCCAGGCCUACGAAGAACAGGGCACAGACUGCACCUACCCUGCCCACAUGCAACAGCUGUGACUGAGGCACAGACUUCAUCUACUGACUUAGGAGCUCUCAUACUGCAGGGGCAAGAGAAGUUCUAAGCAGUAUCCAAAAAAGUGAAGUAGCUAUGGCCAAGAUAUGUGCUUUUUUUUUUUUUUUUUAAAUAAAGUCUGAUUUUAGAUUGGCAAUAA